rnacentral:misc_RNA from 1 species
AGCAGUGUACAAGAAAAUUAAAAGGUAUACAAGUAUUGACAAACCAAACAAAAAUGAUUUAGGUAUUUUAAUGAUGGAGAGCCCAAUUUCAAGCCCAAUUCAAUUUGUAACGUUGCCAGUUUGAUGAUUCACACUCUUAGGCCAGUAAUUCUCAACAUGGUAUCAGAAAAGUAAGGCCCAAUGGCCAUAGAUCCAAGACCCAAAAACUUGUUGGGCAGAGCCCGAGCGAGCCAAACCCAUGAGCUAAGCCCCAGUGAGCCAAACUUAGGUGAAAUCAUGGGCUAGCCCACUGAGCUAGACCUUGAGGUUAAAGCCAAGAGGAGCUAGAUCCACGUUAGUUGGGCCACCCUAUGAAAUGGCAAUUGACAAGUGGGCCUGUGAGCUUGAGUUGAGCCUAGUUGCACUUGAGGGGGAGUGUUGGAAUAUGGCUUGUGGGAACAAGCCUCACAUUGAUAGUGGACAAGAAAAUUAAUGGGCAUAUGAGUGUAGGCAAACUAAACCAACAUUUUGGUAAUGCUGAAUCCAGUUUCAAACCAUAUUUAGUACGGAGACUAUUUAUUAGUCCACAAUCCUUGGCCUUCAAUUCCAAUAGUGAUAUCUAGUUAAUUAAAAGAUUGGUAGUUGUCUAGCAAGAUAAUAGUAGUGGGAGCAACCAAAAAAAGUGAAACGAGGACAAACUUCAUGACCUCCAAAUGUUUUAGCACCACAUCUUGUUGGACAUAAAUUAAGAGAAUAAUAGAAGCAUAUUUAUAAAGUAAAAUAGUAUUAAAAAAUUAUUUAAAUAGUAUUAAAAAAUUAUUUAAAAUUUUCUUUUGUGGUUCUACAUCAAAAAUGGGUUGAGUUUUAUCUUGUUGCUAAAUUGCUUCAUUCUUUAAUGCCUUCAAAACCAUUAAGUCUAUGCACCCAUCCUUUGUGUUUCUUGGUCUACAUGGGCCAUUGUUCAUUGUAAUAAAGACCAAAAGAAAGAAAUGUCACAUGUUGCCAAAACUUUUGCUUUAGGAUAUUACCAUGGAACCAACAUUUGGUAGUUGAGAUCCCAAUCACGGGACCU